rnacentral:rRNA from 1 species
ACUUACCAACCCGAUGCAAACUACGAAUACCGAAGAAUGUUAUCACGGGAGACACACGGCGGGUGCUAACGUCCGUCGUGAAGAGGGAAACAACCCAGACCGCCAGCUAAGGUCCCAAAGUCAUGGUUAAGUGGGAAACGAUGUGGGAAGGCACAGACAGCCAGGAUGUUGGCUUAGAAGCAGCCAUCAUUUAAAGAAAGCGUAAUAGCUCACUGGUCGAGUCGGCCUGCGCGGAAGAUGUAACGGGGCUAAACCAUGCACCGAAGCUGCGGCAGCGACACUAUGUGUUGUUGGGUAGGGGAGCGUUCUGUAAGCCGUUGAAGGUGGCCUGUGAGGGUUGCUGGAGGUAUCAGAAGUGCGAAUGCUGACAUAAGUAACGAUAAAGCGGGUGAAAAGCCCGCUCGCCGGAAGACCAAGGGUUCCUGUCCAACGUUAAUCGGGGCAGGGUGAGUCGACCCCUAAGGCGAGGCCGAAAGGCGUAGUCGAUGGGAAACAGGUUAAUAUUCCUGUACUCGGUGUUACUGCGAAGGGGGGACGGAGA